GCCCAGCCGUAAACAAUUAACUCACACCCAUAAGCGCCACGGAACUACGCGCCAUGCUUAAAACCCAAAGGAUUUGACGGUGUCCCACCCCCCUAGAGGAGCCUGUUCUAUAAUCGAUGAUCCCCGAUAUACCCUACCACCCCUUGCCCAUCAGUCUGUAUACCUCCGUCGAAAGCUUACCAUGUGAACGUCUACAGUAGGUUCAAGGACCCGCAUUAGCGCGUCAAUACGUCAGGUCAAGGUGCAACUUAAGGAGUGGAAAGUAAUUGGCUACAAUUUCUAACCUAGAACAAACGAAAGACUGUGUGAAACCACAGUCACGAAGGCGGAUUUAGUAGUAAAAAGAAAAUAGAGAGUUCUUUUUAACCUGGCUCUGGGACGCGUACACACCGCC
rnacentral:rRNA from 1 species